GAGAAGGAGAGGAAAGUAAAGUAAAAGAGAGCUCAACACACAUCUAAAGGAAGUACAAUCAGAUCUAAAGACUCCUGAAGAACAACAGAGGAAAGAUGAAAGCUGUAUGUUUUUCUCUCCUUCUCCUGCUGCUGGCAUGUAGCUUUGGAGAGGGCCUGAGAUGCAACCGAUGUAUUGGCAAUGGCUGCAGUAACACAGUGGAGACCUGCCGUAUUGACCAUGACACCUGUGCAUUGGUCAUAUUCAAGUACCCACUUCCUAUCUCAUACUUCAAGAGAUGCAUGAAGAUGUCAGAAUGCAUGUUGAUGGGAAGCAACAAGGACAUUGAUGCCUAUUGCUGCACCACCAACCAAUGCAACUGAGAGACACAUCCUCUGUCUACCAUACUGUAUACUGUACAGUCCAUUAAUUGUACUAAUCAAUGCACAUGAUUGAAACUGUCAAGAAGUAACAGAAAUAAAGUUGUGCUUUUGCUUCUUUGUUCCAAA